CAGCCGCCGCGGGAAUACAGAGGGUGCGAGCGUUAAUCGGAUUUACUGGGCGUAAAGCGUGCGUAGGCGGCUAAUUGAGUCGGAUGUGAAAUCCCCGAGCUUAACUUGGGAAUUGCAUUCGAUACUGGUUAGCUAGAGUGUGGGAGAGGAUGGUAGAAUUCCAGGUGUAGCGGUGAAAUGCGUAGAGAUCUGGAGGAAUACCGAUGGCGAAGGCAGCCAUCUGGCCUAACACUGACGCUGAGGUACGAAAGCAUGGGGAGCAAACAGGAUUAGAUACCCCCGUAGUCCCUGUCUCUAUACA
rnacentral:rRNA from 1 species